UCUGCAGCUUUAAGCGCGGCUGUCAAACUCGUUUUGUGUGUGGGGCGUGUGCGGCGUAUCUUAACAAUCGUACCCAGCAGUUCCUGCUCAUUUGCGUCACACUACUAUGUACGGCCGAAUCUUGUAGUUUUUUUUUUCUUUUUUAACUCCAUCGGGGUCAUUCUUUGGUAAACGCCCUCUUAUUGUACCACAGGACGGGCAGCCAUUCUUUUAAACUUUUUUUGACUUCAGCGGCACGUUGUGUCGGCGGACUCUUUCGCGUUUUAAAGCAUUUAUUGACUUUUUUCACUAAGAAUGAGUAUGAAUGACCGAGAUGAUGUGCGUCUGGACGUGGAGAUGGAAGAAGUGGAGAAGCUCUCCGGUAUCUAUAAUGACAAGGAUCUUGUUGAACAGGAAUUUUAUCCAACCUAUGGAGCAUUUAAUGAUGGAUCAGACAUGCCAAAACCUGAAUGGGUGGAGGUUAACCAGCAGAGUGACUCCGUGUUUUUUAAUGAUGGUAAACGAAGGAUUGAUUUUGUUUUGGCCUAUGAAGAUGAGGACAUGAAAGAAUAUGAAAAAAGAUAUCAUUUUCAGAGAAAAAAGAUGAAAAGGGAACAUUACGAAGCAAGUCUUAUUAAAAUGGGUCUAGAACUGGAAGCAGCACGCUCUGUUGUGGAAGAGAAAUUAGUUUUUGUUAAAGUUCAUACACCCUGGGAUGUUCUCUGUACAUAUGCUGAAGUAAUGCACCUUCAAAUGCCCAUCCAGAUCAAUGAUUUAAAGAGCAGAACUUCUACAUUUAACUGCUUCACUAAGAUCUUUUCUCCAAGUGAGGAUAUAAUCCAUCCUGAAACAGAAUAUUUUACUGCCCCUUUUGAAAAGGAUAGGAUUAAUCAUUUUCUAAUUGAAGAUCAAGAAACUUUUUUUAAUCCAUCAACUCGAAGCAGAAUUGCAAAUUAUAUUUUGAGCCGUGCAAACUAUGAGAUGACCGACAAAGUAAGAAAAUUUGGGAUCAACAAACUGUUGGAUACUGGAGUGUACAAGGCUGCCUUUCCAUUACAUGAUUGUAGAUUCAACGUCAAGUCAGAAGAUUUAAAAUGUCCCAAUGAACGGUACCUUCUGUAUAGAGAAUGGGCACAUCCUAGGAGCUUUUAUAAGCUGCAGCCUUUGGAUUUAAUAAGAAAGUAUUAUGGAGAAAAGGUUGGAAUUUACUUUGCCUGGCUUGGUUUUUACACCAAGAUGUUGGUCGUUGCAGCAUUUUUUGGAUUAUGUUGUUUUAUCUAUGGAUAUAAAACAAGAGAUACAAAUACCUGGAGCAUAGAGGUAUGUGAUCCUGAAGUUGGAGGACGAAUAAUAAUGUGCCCGCAGUGUGACAGAGAGUGCACGUACUGGAAACUGAAUAGCACCUGUGAAUCAACUAAGAAACUCUCCAUUUUUGACCAUUAUGGUACAUUGGUAUUUGCAGUGCUAAUGUCAAUAUGGGUUACUAUUUUUUUGGAGUUUUGGAAGAGGCAUCAAGCAGAGCUGAAUUAUGAGUGGGACACUGCUGAAUUUUUGGAGCAGGAAGAACUACCACGACCAGAAUAUGAAGCCAAGUGUAAAUAUGAGAAAAUAAAUCCUGUCACAAAGGAAAAAGAAUUAGUUCCACACAGAACAUGUGAAAAGUGCUUGAGAGUGUCCUGUGGAGUAGGAACAGUCUUGUUUUGGAUUGUGCUGAUUGUUGCUUCAGUAGUGGGAAUUAUAGUCUAUCGCCUUUCAGUUUUCUUUGUCUUUGCUGCAAAAAUGCAACAUGAUCUGAAAGAACUUGAGCCUUUGAAGGAAUACUUGACCCCACAGAUGGCUACUUCAGUAACAGCUUCCAUUAUCAGUUUUAUUAUCAUCAUGAUUUUAAAUAUGGUGUAUGAAAAGGUGGCAAUAAUGAUUACAGAUUUUGAACUGCCUAGAACACAAACUGAUUAUGAAAACAGUUUGACCUUGAAGAUGUUCCUGUUCCAGUUUGUCAACUACUAUUCCUCUUGCUUUUAUAUCGCCUUCUUCAAAGGCAAGAUUGUUGGCUACCCAAAAUCCCCUGUAUAUUGGCUGGGUAAAUACAGGAAUGAAGAGUGUGAUCCCAGUGGCUGCCUUGUUGAGUUGACAACACAGCUUACAAUUGUCAUGGGAGGUAAAGCCAUCUGGAAUAACAUACAAGAAGUGCUUUUGCCAUGGAUAAAAAAUAUAAUUGGCCGUUAUAAAGCAGGAAAACCUGCAGAAAGACAAAUUCCACGAUGGGAGCAAGAUUAUGAACUUCAGUCUUUGGGAAAACUAGGAUUAUUUUAUGAAUAUCUUGAAAUGGUCAUCCAAUUUGGCUUUGUGACUUUAUUUGUGGCAUCUUUUCCUCUUGCCCCACUUCUUGCACUUCUCAAUAACUUGUUUGAGAUUCGAGUGGAUGCCUGGAAACUGACUACACAGUACCGUCGCGUUGUGCCUGAGAAAGCACAGGAUAUUGGGGCAUGGCAGCCAAUUCUUCAAGGGAUUGCUAUUUUGGCUGUGGUAACAAAUGCUAUGAUCAUUGCUUUUACAUCUGAUAUGAUUCCUCGCUUAGUUUACUACUGGUCUCUCUCAGUGGAACCAUACACAGACCAGUAUUCUCCAACAAAUCCUGAUAACAUGAACAAUACCAUGAAAGGCUACAUCAACAGUACACUGUCUGUCUUCAAUAUCUCUGAUUUUUCAGACAGGAGCAAACCAAACAAGUUACCCAUGUGGUUUAACAAUGAAACAGAUACAACUUGCAGGUAUCGAGAUUUCAGGUAUCCACCAGGACACCCUCAUGAGUACAUGCUAAGCAUCUAUUAUUGGCACGUGAUUGCAGCUAAGCUGGCUUUCAUAAUUGUCGUAGAGCACAUUGUCUACUUCACAAAGUUUCUUCUGGAAUACUUGAUUCCUGAUGUCCCUGCAACAGUUAAGGAACAAAUAAAGAGAGAGAGCUACCUGACCCAGAAAAAGCUCCAUGAAACAAACCUUAAACUUGUGAGAAAGCGUGUGGGAUCCAUGGCUAACAAGCUCAUCAAGGACAAUGAAAUUCCAUUUGAACUGAUUACACCUAAGUAAUGGACCUUGGCAUGCAUAUAAUCAUGAAAUAUUUUGCACAGUACCUACUGCAGACAUCACGUGGCUCCAUUCCUUUUAGCUUUUGUACACCCCUACACAUCAACACCCUUUGACUGUCUUAUCCACAAUGACAAAAAAAACCCUGGAGGAGGACCAUUGAUGAAUGUCAGCCUCUCUCUUCUUGACCCUCUGUAACCCCUAUGAACUGGCCUACCCUGAGCCUUUUAAUUUACUUACUGCAGUUGUUUCAUCUUUUAAAGUCCACUUAAUUUAUCUGGAAUAAACCAAAGAGUUGGCGUUGCAUUGCAAAAGACUAACACAGUGACUUUUAAAUCACAUAGGGUUAUUGACAACUGGUGAUCACAACACUCCUUAUGUUCUUCACUAUAUCAAGGAGGUCUCUUUCUGUUUAGAGACAGAGCUGCCUAAACUUAAACCUAAGCCUAACCUAAAGUUAACAGAUGCAAGUAUUGGCAUCUUUUCUCAGGAUGUAGGGGGGCUUCCCUUGUAAAACACAGAAAACCCACUUACAGCAGAAUCACCGGCAACAUGAUGUGUCAAAAGUGUGAUAGGCCCCUUGAGACACAGCUCUGUGCACCGAGCAUUACUACUCAGUCAUCUAGGAGGAUUUUUUUUUUGUUCAUGCUUAGGCUGUUUCAUUCAUAAAUGACAUGGGAUGCAUUUGAUCAGAACAAAGAAAACACAUGAAUAACGAUGUUUAUUAACAGUCAGCUGGUAAUGUAAAAUACCGUAGAUGUUAAGGAUAUUUCUGUUCCAUAGUUUUUAACCUUAUUUAACUAAUCCAUAAGAGUUUGUGUCAUUUAUAAUGCAUAGUAUUCUAUACGUGGCAUACUGUAUUUAUGUGCAACUUUUAACAAAAGGGAAAACACUCCCUGAGUUUAUGUGAAAGGUUAUCAUUUCAUGUUUAACACUUUCUGUUCAUAUCUGUGGUUAAUGUUUAGAGAGAAUUGAAAUUUUAUUUGUCAACAUGAGCGCUAAAUUAUCCAUGUGAAUUUGAUUUACAGGUAGGAUUACUGAAGGAGGUCAUGAAAAAUGAUUUUAAUGUGUACGGAUACAGAGGAGAAACAAAUGUGUUUGUCAGUGCCACUACAAUCUACCUCAUACAGUCCAGUAAAAUGGUGAUCACACCAAUAGGAUGGCCAUUUCUUUGAAGGAGACUACAAUACCCAUACCAUAUCUAAUUUGGCUGAAUAUGUUAGUACAGUCUCUUUAAAUUUAUAUUCAUGAGUACAAUUUGACUGUGUCAGCAAUUGUUUUCGGCUGUGGUUAUUAUAAUACAAGUAAAGGUUAUCCUGUUGUAAUAAAUAAUAAGGAAUAGUAUAUCUUUUUUUUCAAAAUUCUUUCAUAAUCUUCUUUUAUUGAUGUGACAAGUACGCCCAGCUCCAUUACACCUGCAGUGGAACACUGUGGUGUUGAAAAUAAAGUAAGAAAAUCGAUCGGAUAUGAUAUUUUUUUUUUUUUGAAAGCUUUGUACUUGAAUUUCACAUUUGUGUAUUUGUGUUCACAAUUCUCUUUCUAAGUUCCUUCUCUGUUUUUUUUUUUUUAAUUCAAAAUUUGUGUUUAAUAUUGCAUUUAGUAGUCAGCCAUUUCAAAUGUUUGCAUGCAAAUAUGAAAUAUGUAAAUGUGUGAAAAAUGUUCUAUAAACACUUAUUAACACUAGAAAGGAAAAAAACUCCCUGUGUAUGUACAGUAUUUUAUUGUGCAUUGUUCUAUUUUGUUUAAAAAAAUAAAUCCUAAUGUGUACAUUUUCAUAA